rnacentral:rRNA from 1 species
UACGUAGGCAGCAAGCGUUGUCCGGAUUUACUGGGCGUAAAGAGCGCGCAGGCGGUCGUUCAAGUCGAGUGUGAAAGCCCCCGGCUCAACUGGGGAGGGUCACUCGAUACUGAUCGACUCGAAGGCAGGAGAGGGAAGUGGAAUUCCGAGUGUAGAGGUGAAAUUCGUAGAUAUUCAGAGGAACACCAGUGGCGAAGGCGGCUCACUGGUCCAUUACUGACGCUGAGGUGCGAAAGCGUGGGGAGCAAACAGG